rnacentral:tRNA from 1 species
GGGGUUGUGGCUCAGUGGUAGAGCGCUCGCCUAGCAUGUGUGAGGCCCUGGGUUCGAUCCUCAGCACCACA